rnacentral:rRNA from 1 species
GACGAACCGUGCAAACGUUGUUCGGAAUCACUGGGCUUAAAGGGCGCGUAGGCGGGCGACCAAGUCAGGGGUGAAAUCCUCCGGCUCAACCGGAGAACAGCCUUUGAUACUGGUCACCUCGAGGGAGGUAGGGGCAUGUGGAACUUCCGGUGGAGCGGUGAAAUGCGUAGAUAUCGGAAGGAACGCCGGUGGCGAAGGCGGGUCUCUGGGCCGAAACUGACGCUGAGGAGCGAAAGCGUGGGGAGCGAACAGG